GAACGCACAUUGCGCCCCCUGGCAUUCCGGGGGGCAUGCCUGUUCGAGCGUCAUUACACCACUCAAGCCUGGCUUGGUAUUGGAGGCCGCGGUCCGCCGCGCCUCCUAAUGUCGCCGACCGAGUCGUCUGUCUCCGAGCGUUGUGAAUCUUCAAUUCGCUUUCGAGUACAGGCGGCGCGCGCCGUUAAACCUCUUUUUCAGCUUUUGACCUCGAAUCAGGUGGGACUACCCGCUGAACUUAAG
rnacentral:misc_RNA from 1 species